rnacentral:rRNA from 1 species
AUGCAUGUUUAAGUUCAUCUUGAAAAAGUGAAACCGCGGACGGCUCAGUAAAUCAGUCGGAAUUCUUUGAAGUGUUGCUUACAUAAGGAUACCUCAGGUAACCCUUGAGCUAAUACUUGAAAUGUCCCCUUCGUGGGAUGCACCUCUAGUCGAUUUAACCUACCGGCGUGAUUGCGUACGGUCAAGGGGAGCUCUGAUGAGAGGGUCUACUCCUCCGCAUUGUGCAGGGAGUUAUUUCUCGAAGUGUCUGACCUAUCAAUUGUGGACGGUAGUGUCUUGGACUACCAUGGUCCUGACGGGUAACGGGGAAUCAGGGUUCUAUUCCGGAGAGGCAGCCUUAGAAACGGCUACUACACCCAAGGGAGGCAGCAGGCGCGCAAAUUACCCAAUAUUAGAUGUGUGAGGUAGUGACGAAAAAUAACGAUGCAUCACUUUUGUGUUGUAAUCGGAAUGACAGUGAAGUAAACAUUCUCUGAAGGAGCAAGUGGAGGGCAAGUCUGGUGCCAGCAGCCGCGGUAAUACCAGCUUCCACAAGCAUAUGCAAAAGUUGCUGCGUUUAGAAAGCUCGUAGUUGGUGCUGUUACGAUCGUGCUAUUCAAUGGUGGAAUAUCCUUUAGUACGGUUGGACCUCUGCGUCUCCGGAUUGUUGCACUUAAUUGUGUGAUGAUUUGGAGGCAGAUUUACCUAGAAUAAAUUAGCGUGUUCAAAGCAGCCUUUGGGUAUGAAUAAUGGAGCAUGGAAUAAUGGAAGAGGAUCGAACAUCUUUCAUGGGUUACGGAUAUGUCGAAUAAUGGUUAACAAGAUCGAAUGGGGGCGUUCGUAUUGUUACGUCAGAGGUGAAAUUCUUGGAUCGUAGCAAGACGGUCUACUGCGAAAGCAUUUGCCAAAAGUGUUUUUACUUAUCAAGAACGAAAGUUGGAGUAUUGAAGAGGAUUAGAUACCCUCGUAAUUCUAACCAUAAACUAUUCAAACUCGAUUUGUGCAUGAUCAAAUGUGUUCUAGCAUGAAUUAUAUGGGAAACUAAAGUCUUUCUGUUACGGGGGUAGUAUGGUUGCAAAAUCGAAACUUAAAGGAAUUGACGGAAGGGCACCACCAGGAGUGGAGCUUGCGGCUUAAUUCGACUCAACACGGGGAAACUCACCAGGUCCAGACAUGGUAAUGAUUGACAGACUGAAUAUUCAUCAUGAUACUUUGGGUGGUGGUGCAUGGCCGUUCUUAGUUAGUGGAGUGCUCUGUCUGGUUGAUUCCGAUAACGAACGAGACCUAAUUCAAUUGAAUAUCAAAAGCAGGAAAGCUGUUUCAUGAUUCUAAGAGAGACCACGUAGAUUUCUUACUACUUGGAAGUUGGGCUAUAACAGGUCUGUGAUGCCCUUAGAUGUCCUGGGCUGCACGCGUGCUACAAUGA